rnacentral:rRNA from 1 species
GGAUGAACGCUAGCUACAGGCUUAACACAUGCAAGUCGAGGGGAAACGAUAGAGAAAGCUUGCUUUUUCUAGGCGUCGACCGGCGCACGGGUGAGUAACGCGUAUCCAACCUGCCCACCACUUGGGAAUAACCUUGCGAAAGUAAGACUAAUACCCAAUGAUAUCUCUAGAAGACAUCUGAAGGAGAUUAAAGAUUUAUCGGUGAUGGAUGGGGAUGCGUCUGAUUAGCUUGUUGGCGGGGUAACGGCCCACCAAGGCGACGAUCAGUAGGGGUUCUGAGAGGGAAGGCCCCCACAUUGGAACUGAGACACGGGCCCAAACUCCCUACGGGAGGCAGCAGUGAGGGAAUAUUGGUCAAUGGGCGAGAGCCUGAAUCAGCCAAGUAGCGUGCAGGAAGACGGCCCUAUGGGUUGUAAACUGCUUUUAUAAGGGAAUAAAGUGAGUCUCGUGAGACUUUUUGCAUGUACUUAUGAAUAAGGACCGGCUAAUUCCGUGCCAGCAGCCGCGGUAAUACGGAAGGUCCGGGCGUUAUCCGGAUUUAUUGGGUUUAAAGGGAGCGUAGGCCGGAGAUUAAGCGUGUUGUGAAAUGUAGACGCUCAACGUCUGCACUGCAGCGCGAACUGGUUUCCUUGAGUACGCACAAAGUGGGCGGAAUUCGUGGUGUAGCGGUGAAAAUGCUUAGAUAUCACGAAGAACUCCGAUUGCGAAGGCAGCUCACUGGAGCGCAACUGACGCUGAAGCUCGAAAGUGCGGGUAUCGAACAGGAUUAGAUACCCUGGUAGUCCGCACGGUAAACGAUAGAUGCCCGCUGUUGGUCUGAAUAGGUCAGCGGCCAAGCGAAAGCAUUAAGCAUCCCACCUGGGGAGUACGCCGGCAACGGUGAAACUCAAAGGAAUUGACG